GAGCAAUCCAGUGCUUUGUGAGGACAGAAUGAACAACCGUGCUGGGUUAUAAAGCUCCCCGUCAGAAGCCAAGACGCAGUCCUUAGAGGAGGACAAGCCACCUUGAACCUUUCGCCACUCUUCAUUUGCUACGAGACGGACCCAGAGACCGGCUGUGCACGCUGAUGAACCUGGGGCAAGGACUGACCGCAAAGACUCCACCCAACACUGCUGCCUAAAAUUCCUGGGCUGUCAAUGUAGAGAAGAUUGCUUCCAACGCAGGCAAAAGUAGCUUUUGUGCCUCCAACUCACAUCGGUCAAACACAUCUGGCUUUCAGUCAUCCUCAUCCUCAAUCUGAAACCGUUUCUUCCUGUGGACUCUUGGCGUUCCCGACACUGCUGCCAUGGGAAUGACAGGUAAGAGACAGAAAUGGAAAGCAUCUAAGUAUGUAAAAGGAUAAGGCAAAUGGCCAGUGUCUCCACUGAAGACAAGAGUCCCUACCUUGCCUCCUCCCCUCAUCAUCUUCCUCUUCGUCGCUGUCCAGCAGUUGCCGCUUCUUGGGCGCUGAGUUCCAUUCUUCCUCCCCAGUGGCCUCCUCUGCAGUGAUGUAAGACACAGUCGGGAACCGGCCCUGCAUCGUCUCAACAGCCCUCACGCCACACGGUGGCACAGAAGGCACCAGAGGGAUUGCCUGGGAGCAGCCUGCAGACACGGUGACAAUGUGGCAGAGGAACUGCUCUGGAUCACACCAGGCCCAGGCCACCCAGUGUCCAGUGCUUACCAUCCUCUUCUCGGUCAUUUG
rnacentral:lncRNA from 1 species